rnacentral:rRNA from 1 species
GCUAACUACGUGCCCGCAGCCGGGGUAUUACGUAGGGUGCAAGCGUUAAUCGUAAUUACUGGGCGUAAAGCGUGUGCAGGCGGUUUCGUAAGGCUGUCGUGAAAUCCCCGGGCGUAACCUGGGAAUGGCGAUGGAGACUGCGAGGCUAGAGUUUGGCAGAGGGGGGUAGAAUUCCACGUGUAGCAGUGAAAUGCGUAGAGAUGUGGAGGAACACCGAUGGCGAAGGCAGCCCCCUGGGUCAAAACUGACGCUCAUGCACGAAAGCGUGGGGAGCAAACAGGAUUAGAUACCCGUGUAGUC